CCUGCACAUUAUUGCAGCUUGGAGUUGAGGCCACUAGCUGGCCAAUGAACUAACAAAUGUAUGUAGUGUGUUACAUGAGGGGCAUGUCCUUUGCUAACACCAUAAGUGUCUGGUCCAAUGAGUGGAGUUUGAUAGUAAUUAUUGCUACAAGU